GCGCGUCGACGGCCAUAUUCGCCGCGGCGGUUGCAGAAUGCAAAGUCUGUGCUGAGUCGAGGACAACAUUUUCCACAGAUUUUAAUCAUCAAACAGCGGAUGAGCGGGUUAAUGUACAUCGAGGAUGAGCAUGUUUUCUGCCGGUUCAAUCCACAAAUAUAUCCUCGACGAAAAGGAAAAGAGCCGAAAAUUGGAGAUCGAAGGAGCGAUUAUUACACCGCAAAACGCUACAAUUUUUGAAUCGGUGCAGCGGAAACAGACGCGGAUUAAGGGUCGAUACUAACGAAUGGCUUGGGGCUAAAGUUGUGUCCGCCACCGAUGAGAGGUCCGUCUUGUUUCUUCGCUGCCAAAGAGGUCUUUGUGACUGGGG